rnacentral:rRNA from 1 species
CCUACGGGAGGCAGCAGUGGGGAAUAUUGGACAAUGGGCGAAAGCCUGAUCCAGCAAUGCCGCGUGAGUGAUGAAGGCCUUAGGGUUGUAAAGCUCUUUUACCAGGGAUGAUAAUGACAGUACCUGGAGAAUAAGCUCCGGCUAACUCCGUGCCAGCAGCCGCGGUAAUACGGAGGGAGCUAGCGUUGUUCGGAAUUACUGGGCGUAAAGCGUACGUAGGCGGUUAUUCAAGUCAGAGGUGAAAGCCUGGAGCUCAACUCCAGAACUGCCUUUGAAACUAGAUAGCUAGAAUCUUGGAGAGGUGAGUGGAAUUCCGAGUGUAGAGGUGAAAUUCGUAGAUAUUCGGAAGAACACCAGUGGCGAAGGCGACUCACUGGACAAGUAUUGACGCUGAGGUACGAAAGCGUGGGGAGCAAACAGGAUUAGAUACCCUGGUAGUCCACGCCGUAAACGAUGAUAACUAGCUGUUCGGGCUCUACGAGCUUGAGUGGCGCAGCUACGACAUUAAGUUAAUUCCGUCCGUCGGGAGGUACGGUCGGCGAAGAAUUAAAACUUAAAAUUAAGUAAGUUAGUACGGCGUGAGACGUGCCGAACGGACGACGACGAGGGAGGUAGG